rnacentral:rRNA from 1 species
AAUAGAUACCCUGGUAGUCCAUGCCGUAAACGAUGUCUACUAGCCGUUGGGGCCUUUGAGGCUUUAGUGGCGCAGCUAACGCGAUAAGUAGACCGCCUGGGGAGUACGGUCGCAAGACUAAAACUCAAAUGAAUUGACGGGGGCCCGCACAAGCGGUGGAGCAUGUGGUUUAAUUCGAUGCAACGCGAAGAACCUUACCUGGUCUUGACAUAGUAAGAACUUUCCAGAGAUGGAUUGGUGCCUUCGGGAACUUACAUACAGGUGCUGCAUGGCUGUCGUCAGCUCGUGUCGUGAGAUGUUGGGUUAAGUCCCGCAACGAGCGCAACCCUUUUCCUUAUUUGCCAGCGGGUUAAGCCGGGAACUUUAAGGAUACUGCCAGUGACAAACUGGAGGAAGGCGGGGACGACGUCAAGUCAUCAUGGCCCCUUACGACCAGGGCUACACACGUGCUACAAUGGUCGGUACAAAGGGUUGCUACCUAGCGAUAGGAUGCUAAUCUCAAAAAGCCGAUCGUAGUCCGGAUUGGAGUCUGCAACUCGACU